CCUCCUGCCUCAACCUCCUGAGUCCCUGGAACUACAGGUGUGCACUGUCAUGCCCUGCUAACCAAUGUUUGUUAAGUAUGUAUCCUGAAUGCCUCAGACAGGAGUUGUUUGUUUAAACAGACCUAAUUCAUAGUUUACAAAGGUGACUCAUCCAACAUUAUCAAAGGGGAUAAAUGAAAACCCAAACAUUCCAUUUUUCAAAUCUGGGUUCUUUUCUAUUUCU
rnacentral:lncRNA from 1 species